rnacentral:rRNA from 1 species
CGAAGUUUUUCGGAACUUAGUGGCGGACGGGUGAGUAACGCGUGAGAAUCUGCCUAUGGGUUCGGGAUAACGACUGGAAACGGUCGCUAAUACCGGAUGUGCCGGAAGGUAAAAGCUUUAGUGCCUGUAGAUGAGCUCGCGUCAGAUUAGCUAGUUGGUGAGGUAAGGGCUCACCAAGGCGACGAUCUGUAGCUGGUCUGAGAGGAUGACCAGCCACACUGGGACUGAGACACGGCCCAGACUCCUACGGGAGGCAGCAGUGGGGAAUUUUCCGCAAUGGGCGAAAGCCUGACGGAGCAAGACCGCGUGAGGGAAGAAGGUCUGUGGAUUGUAAACCUCUUUUGACAGGGAAGAACGAUGACGGUACCUGUCGAAUCAGCCUCGGCUAACUCCGUGCCAGCAGCCGCGGUAAUACGGAGGAGGCAAGCGUUA